CGGGCCGUGAACUCCCACUUCCUGCCGGAGCCGGAGAGGACCUGCCCGCCGAAGGUGUCGCCGUCGGCCAGCAGGCCGGUGACCGUCUCGUAGCCGUACGGACCUUCGCCGAGCUUCUCCACCUUGCCGUGCGCGAUCAGGUACACAUGGUCGGCCUUGCGGCCCUCCUGCACGAUGACCUGGCCGGGCUCGAACUCCUUCUGCGUGAACUUCUCCGCCAGCGCGCCCAGCGCGUCGCCGUCCGCGAAGCCGCGCAGCAGUGGCAGUUCGCCCAGCUCGGCCGGGACGACCUGGACCUUGGCGCCGGUCUUGAUGAACGAGACCCGGCCGUCGCCGAGGGUGUACGACAGGCGCCGGUUCACCCGGUAGGUGGCGCCCGGCACGUUCACCCACGGCAGCAUCCGGCUCAGCCAGCGGGAGCUGAUGCCCCGCAUCUGGGGUUCGGACUUGGUGGUGGUCGCGAGAUUGCGGGCCGCCUCCGUACUGAGGCUGCUGAGC
rnacentral:antisense_RNA from 1 species